UAAGCAUAUCAAUAAGCGGAGGAAAAGAAACUAACAAGGAUUCCCCUAGUAACUGCGAGUGAAGCGGGAAAAGCUCAAAUUUAAAAUCUGGCGGUCUUUGGCCGUCCGAGUUGUAAUUUAGAGAAGCGUCUUCCGCGCCGGACCGUGCACAAGUCUCCUGGAAUGGAGCGUCAUAGAGGGUGAGAAUCCCGUCUUUGGCACGGAUGCCUGGUGCUCUGUGAUGCGCUCUCGAAGAGUCGAGUUGUUUGGGAAUGCAGCUCAAAAUGGGUGGUGAACUCCAUCUAAAGCUAAAUAUUGGCGAGAGACCGAUAGCGAACAAGUACCGUGAGGGAAAGAUGAAAAGCACUUUGGAAAGAGAGUGAAACAGUACGUGAAAUUGUUGAAAGGGAAACGCUUGAAGUCAGUCGCGUCGACCGAGACUCAGCCUUGCCUCGGCUUGGUGUACUUCUCGGCCCGACGGGUCAGCGUCAAUUUUGCCCCUCGGAUAAUGGCAAGGGAAAGGUGGCACCUUUACGGGUGUGUUAUAGUCUCCUGUCGCAUGCGAGGGGUGGGAUUGAGGAACUCAGCGCGCACCUUUGGUGUCGGGGCUUCGGCCCACGUCACGCGCUUAGGAUGCUGGCGUAAUGGCUUUAAACGACCCGUCUUGAAACACGGACCAAGGAGUCCAACACGCCCGCGAGUGUUCGGGUGGAAAACCCGUGCGCGUAAUUAAAGUGAAAGUUGGGACCUCUGUCGUGGAGGGCACCGACGCCCGGACCAGACCUUCUGUGACGGAUCUGCGGUAGAGCGUGUGUGUUGGGACCCGAAAGAUGGUGAACUAUGCCUGAAUAGGGUGAAGCCAGAGGAAACUCUGGUGGAGGCUCGUAGCGAUUCUGACGUGCAAAUCGAUCGUCAAAUUUGGGUAUAGGGGCGAAAGACUAAUCGAACCAUCUAGUAGCUGG
rnacentral:rRNA from 1 species